GAGAAAUGGAUUUGUGAUACCUUUUUACUGGAAAACCAAAAAGGUUCAAGGAGGAAUGUUGCUAUAGUUCCAGUACAUCUUUACAAUAAGAGGUUUCGUACAGCUCUGGUCAGCAUUACCGUAACUGGUCAUGGGUGAGUUGUUCAUAGCUGUGGGUUCUACUGCACCAGCCCUCAUCAUGCCAAGCCUGCAGUCCUCUGCUCUGCAACCUGUGUCCUCACUUCUCAAGGCGUGCGUAAUGAUGCAGACUGCAUCAUUAUGAUGGUGUAAUUUGCUUCCUGCUGUUUUAAGGGUUGUCUUCAUCCUGAGAUCUCUGAUAGAUAAACUGAACAAAGAGAACAAAAAUUGAUUGACUGUAUGUGACUUUGGGAAUACUUGCAAUGGGCUAAGAAUGUCCAUUUAAACAUGCCUGUAUAAGCAGAUAUAGGCAGUUAUGUACUAGCUCUUCCAACAUUCUGGACUGGCUAGUCACAAGUCAUCUCUGGACCAGAUGGUGCUCUGAAGAGAAUAUGAAUGACUUGCUUGGACAUCACACAGGAAAACUGAAGAAAAACUGUUUUAUCUCCUAAAGUGUGGGCUAACACAAUGACUGUUAAACAACUCUCUCUCUUCUUUACUUGACAUUGUGGUAUACAAUUAUGAAACUUGGUAUUUGUGUCCUCUUAAGCUAUGUUUUUGUCUGCAAUCACUGGAACAGUACUGAAGUGUGUUGGUGACUCUUUGCCUUCAGGAAGGUAGAGGAGUAAAAUGCUUCUAAUUAAAAUAGAAUCAUUAA